rnacentral:lncRNA from 1 species
UUUCCAUCCAAUGUCUCUCUCUGAUGAAAACCCUAGCCGCUUUUAUAACCACUCGCCGGCUCCGCCUCUCUCUACCGCUCAAAAAUCUUAUUACGAAGCCGGAGUACCUCCAAAUAGCCUCAAAUUAACACAAUGGAAUCAUUUCACCCUCAUUUUCCCAUAUAUCCUAAACGUUUCUUUCAAACAAGUUUAGAAAUUCUCGAAUUAUAGAUCUAAAAGCCAAACUCUAGUUUUUUCCUUUUUGAUUUUCGGUUAAUUUCUAGGUUGUUUGAACCCAAGACUUCCAUUAGUCGACUAUUUUUGUUGAGAACAGUCGAUUAAUGAUCGUCAAAGUUCAUUUUACCCCGCUGAAGCUUGUCCGAGUUCAUGACAAGUUUCAAAUUCGAAGUGAGUUUUGGUAAUCCCCUUUUCCGUUCUCUCCCGUUUCUUCUAUUGCUUAUCUCUUUCAUCUUCUUUCUUCUUUUAGCCUGCAUGACUUAGGUAAUCACAUUUUAGUUCUUGUUCUUUUGCUUGGUUUGUCUACUUGUUUAUGAAGUAUACUGAAUUGUAUAAGUAUUUGAAGUUUAGUUUCAAUUGCAAGAAUUUAGUUUAAUCAGGAUUAACUUUUAGGUUCGAUAAAUAUCAUGAUUUUUCUGUUUCUUUCAUGUUUCUGUCUUAUGCUUGUUUAUUUUAUGUUCAAUGUUUGGUUUUAAGUUAAAUAGGAUAAUUUCACUCCAAUUGAUUAACGCGUUGUUUAGUCUAUUUUUGGUUAGUUGUUAGAAAAAUUAGUUGAUUAAAUUGUUUAACUUGUAAACUAAGUAGGCUAAUUUCUAAGGUUUCUUUGCAGCCUCAUCCUAGUUCUGGUUUGUUUACUGUUUAGAUGUGUUAGUUGUUUUAAUUCAAUUUUUUAAGGUUAAUUAAGUGUGUCUGUUAAUUUACUAAUUAGAUUUAAAUUUGUUUGGUUUAAACCCCGAAUGCUCUUAAGCUUAAGAUUGAUUUCGAAAUUAAAAGGACAUUUGAAACAAUGUUUAGGAGGUUCCAUAAGGGUCUUUAAAAUCAGAAUCUGGGUCAGGACUGGUUAGGACUGAAAUAUCUAGUAAAUGAAAUGGUAAUAUUGGUUUUACAUAAGGUAAAAAUCAGAACGUUCUGGCAUUUUGUAAUUGGGUAUGAAAAAGGACAUACAACUGUCAAAAGAUAUUGUACUAUCUUACCUUUGGGGAAUUUAGGGUAGAAUAUGCUUUUUUGAUGCUAUUUUAGGGAUACCAUAUAAAAGAAAAGUGACUCCUUCAUUCUAGAUAGACUUUCAGACCUAAAAAAGACACUCCAAAAAAGUUUAGCUCUACUGUUCUAUUAGAGUUUGAUCAAAUUUUAUGAUUUUCAAAGAAAAUCUCGAGCAAAUUUUUUGGGAUUUCUGGUUCUUUAAGUAAAAAAUAUGGUUUAAGCUUUGGAGCUGUGUGGUGUUUGUUGUUGUAUAUUGUUGGUUCUAUUGGGUUUGCUUGCUAAUUUCUGUUGCUGCUCGGAGAUCUUCUCAUUUUGUUCCUUGCUAUAUCCAGAUACUUCUGGAACCUUUGAGUAACAAAAAUGAAGUUGUAACAUGUCGUUUUGAAAUUAAAUUUCAGAUCCUUUUCUUUAACUAUGAUGUUUCUAGUUAUUCAGCUCUAUAGUUUCUUUUCAGCUUUGUUUAAGCAUGAUGAAACUGGUGUUCUAAUCUUUAAUUUAGUUGAAAUAUUUCUAAGUAUGAAUGUUCAUAAUAGUUUGGUUAUCCAUGUAAUGUUUUGACAGUUUUGAAAUGCUAAGUAAUCACAGUAGUUCAUUUGGUUGUUUAUUGAAAAUGUUGGAUAUGUAAUGUACAAAAUGGGUCAUGCUUGAUUAUUGGGUACACUUAGCUGAAAUAUUUUGCAUUUCAGCAUUGUUAAAGCAAUUGUAUAUAUAAGUUUAAGGUGAUUCCUGAAUAAGUUUAAGGUUUAAUCUCUUUUUGUUAGUACUAACAGCAUGUUAACAAUUUAAACUUAUGAUAUGGUUGGUCAGCCUCUGAAUUGUUCCACAAAUUUUUAAUAUUUUGUGUCACAUGUGAUUUAGAGGAAAACAAGCCUCACUAGGGCCUUAAUGUUGAAGGCUUUCUUGCUGAAAAUGUUUGGGCCUAGCGUUGGUCAGAUGAGGUUGUCUGGUUGAAAUCAGGCCCAACAUGUUGAUGCUCCUGUUUUUUCUUUCAUCUUUGGGCUCAACUUCGCCCAAUCAAUUUCAGCAUUUUAUUCAUUAAAUUUUUGUUUUUAAAAACAUAUCAAAACAAACCAUAACAUUGAAGGCGUACUUCAAAUAAGUUGGGCCUAAUGCUGGCCCAAAUAAAGCUGCCUGGUUAGAACAUGGCUCGCGUGUCUCCAUUUCCUUUACUUUCAUGUUUGGGCUCAAUUUCGUGCCUAGCCAACAUCAUCUAUAUUUUUCUCAAUGAUUUUCUUUAGAUAGUGUAAUGGGCCUACUGAUGGCCCAACUCCUUUAUUCGAAAAAUGAUUAAAGGUGUAACAUAUCUACUCCAAGCUUGUAUACAAUUAGCAAUCUUUUGAAAUAAAUU